UGAAUCAGGACGCAACAGUUAAUCAGGCGCCUGAAGGAAAAGGGGUGAGCCAAAAGUCAUCACGAGUCAGCACUAGAAGCGGCACCACCAAAGCCUUUGAAUUGAGGGCCAGUGGAGUACCUACUUGAAAAGCCGCCCGGUUGUCUGCUGACGUCACGGGGCGGGGACCAGAGGCUAUAUAGCGGGCGUCAGCAGGGGAUCAGCGGAUAAGCCACGUGCCCCUGGAGUCGUCUGUGUGAGCCAGGCAGCGUUAUCAGCAAGUCAGCGAUCGAACGGGUCUCAGGCAGGCGUCAGGCGGAAGAAGCGUCUUGACUCUUGAUUGGUUUCUUCUGCUUCGUGAUUUGCUCCUUCGAAGUCUUACUGAAGGUGUGGUGCGCUGACGGUGUUGUUCCUUGGUUUAGUGUUUUGUGGAGGUGUGGCUUGUUGUGGUGUGUGGUGUGGUGAUGUGGCGUGGUGUGGUGUGGUUUCGUGAUGCUGCUGUGUGCCUUGAUGUGGUGUAUGGUGUGGUGUGUGACGUGUAAUAAGGUAGUGAGAUGAAAGAACGUGUGAUGUGGUGUGGCGGGGUUUGAUGUGAUGGGGUUAUGUGAUGUGAAUGUGUGGUGUGUUGUGGUGCGAUAUGCUGUUUCGUCGUCGAGGUGGCAUGAUUCGAUGUAUGUGAUGUAGCAGUAUGAUGUUGUAUGUGUUGUGAUGUGAUGUAGCUUUUUGAUGUGGCGUGGUGCUACUGUUUCGUUUUUUGUGGUGUAAUGAUGUAGUUUUGUUAAGUGGAUGGACUGGUGUAGUGUGGUAUGGUGUUGAGUUUGUGGUGUGGUGUAUUUUUGUCCUGUGUGGUGUGUAGUGGUGUUUAUGGUGUAAUGCUGUGUGUCGUGAUGUUAUGGAUGUUGUGUUUGUUGUGAUACAGUGAUGAUAUUAAGUUUGUAAGUGUGGUUUAGUGCCAUGUAGCGUAGUGUGCCCUGUGAUGUUAUAAUCUAUGUGGUGUACUGGUGUGCUGCGUGCAUGGUUACUUGAUGUAUGAGGCGGUGGUCGUUACUGUGGUGGUGGUAGUGGUGUAAGUGAUACAGAAGAGUCGUAGUUUGAUGUAAGACAAAUAGUGAAAGGUUUGUAGAGAUGCAACGUAAAUGAGCAUUACUACUACGAAUGCUAAUGUACUUCUAAAGUAAAAGUAAUUAUAUAAUAUAAUAUCUUGCGGGAUUUUUUGUUUUCAUUUUCGCCUUUGAACUGCUGCCUUUGCUGAAAAAAAUAACAAUACAAAAAGAUAAUAAUUUCAAUUAAUUUGUAGUACACAUUUGUACUUAGCAAAUAACGAGGGGCCUAAAAUAAAAGUGAAAAAUUAAAAUAUUGAAAUUCCCCAAAAAUGGAUCGAGUUCUUAGCUCAUUUCUCUUAUUCUUGUAUAAACCUCCUUCAACAGGUGACAGCACGGGAGGAAUACUGAGCACUGUUGUAGGUCCCCAUUGCUGAGGGUGUUGUAGGUCCCCAUUGCUGAGGGUGUUGUGGGUCCCCAUUGCUGAGGGUGUUGUAGGUCCCCAUUGCUGAGGGUGUUGUAGGUCCCCAUUGCUGAGGGUGUUGUAGGUCCCCAUUGCUGAGGGUGUUGUAGGUCCCCAUUGCUGAGGGUGUUGUAGGUCCCCAUUGCUGAGGGUGUUGUAGGUCCCCAUUGCUGAGGGUGUUGUAGGUCCCCAUUGCUGAGGGUGUUGUAGGUCCCCAUUGCUGAGGGUGUUGUAGGUCCCCAUUGCUGAGGGUGUUGUAGGUCCCCAUUGCUGAGGGUGUUGUAGGUCCCCAUUGCUGAGGGUGUUGUAGGUCCCCAUUGCUGAGGGUGUUGUAGGGCCCCAUUGCUGAGGGUGUUGUAGGUCCCCAUUGCUGAGGGUGUUGUAGAUCCCCAUUUCUGAGGGCACCAUAUCACUAAAUAAUAUUCAUAAUGCUGUUAUAACGCCAGUACUGACAACCUGGUGAGUACGGUUCACUCGUAAUAAUCAGACGCAUGUGUGUGGGCGCGUUGUCAUUAAUAUUACAGGUACAACAACA